UACGUAGGGUGCGAGCGUUGUCCGGAAUUACUGGGCGUAAAGAGCUCGUAGGUGGUUUGUCGCGUCGUCUGUGAAAUUCCGGGGCUUAACUCCGGGCGUGCAGGCGAUACGGGCAUAACUUGAGUGCUGUAGGGGAGACUGGAAUUCCUGGUGUAGCGGUGAAAUGCGCAGAUAUCAGGAGGAACACCAAUGGCGAAGGCAGGUCUCUGGGCAGUUACUGACGCUGAGGAGCGAAAGCAUGGGUAGCGAACAGGAUUAGA
rnacentral:rRNA from 1 species